rnacentral:rRNA from 1 species
UACGGAGGGUGCGAGCGUUGUCCGGAAUCACUGGGCGUAAAGGGCGCGUAGGCGGCGCGGAUAGUCGGCGGUGAAAGCCCGGAGCUCAACUCCGGGUCGGCCGUCGAUACUUCCGGGCUUGAGCACUGUAGAGGCAGAUGGAAUUCCGGGUGUAGCGGUGGAAUGCGUAGAGAUCCGGAGGAAGACCGGUGGCGAAGGCGGUCUGCUGGGCAGUUUCUGACACUGAGGCGCGACAGCGUGGGGAGCAAACAGG